rnacentral:lncRNA from 1 species
CUGCCCUAGACGUGCCGACCGGACCCGCGCUGGCCUUGACCACCGAGAGAUGCGGGCGCGGGGGCGUGGGGAUAGUGCUCCCGGCCGCCCUUCGGGCUUCUCCUGGUCUUCCACGUGCCGCCCAAGGCUGCCCACGAUCCCAGACACCGCCGUCCCGGAGCCCUCGGAGCCCUGGCCCGGUGGAGGUGCGUGGCCUAGGACAGCCCCGCGGUCCGCCAAGCGCGGGUGGAGGUGGACGCCCUUCGCACGUGCAGCUGCGGACCUGCAGUUCCCGUCCCUAGUGGGGCUGCGCUCCCAGGCCCGACCCGGUUGGACACGGGAACCAGUAGCGGACAGAGUGGCCACAGCCCCUGGGGCCUUGUCCCAGCCUGGUGCCAGCGACUUUCCUACUCCCACUCCCGCCAGGGCAGUGUGCCCCCGCUAGCCCUGCUCACCGUGGACGGGUGUCGGGCCUGCGCAGAGACAGGCGCCUUCCCCAGGACCCAACUCAAAGACUGAGUUUCGUGGAAGUCAGGCCCCCACCACGGCAGCCGCGCAGCCGGCUGGGCUCGCCUUCCCGCCUUCCCGCCUUCCCGUGGGCAGUUCCGAGCCUCCAGAGCUGUCCCUCGCCUCCAGAGCUGUCCCUCACCUGGAGGCGAAGCUGUCCUCCCGCUUGUGCUCUCUGGCUUGAAGCUUUGCCUGCACCUUCUGCUUACUUUAAGUUCGUUUUAAUUGACACCGGUCCCAAUUUCCCCAGCCUGUGGCCUCAGUGAUGGACUCAAAGCAACUCAACCUGGUGGGGCGGGAGGGUGUCUGUCCGCGUGCGCAGGAGGACAAGGUCAGCGCCCCCUCCACGCAUUACGGCCUCCCGCGCUCCUCUGCCGUGGGCGCCGCCCGUGUCCUCCCCCAAGCCUGCUCUGCCCUACCUCCCCGCCAGCGCAGCGCCCAGGUGGAACCCAGGGGGCGUUUCCACUGAGCCGCCCGCGUACAAUCCCCAGGCCCCGUGCGGGGCGUGCCUCUCAUUUGGGAUGUAAUUUUUAGUCCAAUGAAUUUCGCUAUCAAGUCAACCUAAUGAAAAUAUGAAUUUUGUACAACUUCCUAGGUUGGGAUCUUCUUUCUGAGGGGAUUUUGUUUUAUGUCCACGGACUUUAACCACAUCAUGAGAUGUCAAUCCUUCCUUGGCCCACUCUGCCAACAUGGCACAACCCCACCCUGGGCCAGUACCAGUGUUCAAAAUAAGACUAAGCCAAUGACAGUCUCCUGUCGCUGCGAAUGAGGUGGCUUCCUGUGAAUCCUGGGGGUAAAGAGAUCCCCAGUACAAGGUGAGCUUUGUUAGGAAAGACAAAGGGGUGAGUGGAGACCAGGCGGACAACCAGAAGAAUGUACUAAGGGAGUGCCAGGGGAAAGUCAGACUGGGAUUACAGUGCCACGGGCAGUUCUGCAGGUGGGCAGCAGAACACAGACUUUGUCUUCUAUUAGAAAAAGCAUUUGGGGGCUGGGGUUGUAGCUCAGUGGUUGAGCACUUGCCUUGCAUGGGUGAGGAACUGGGUUCGAGCCUCAGCACCACAUAAAAUAAAUAAAACAAAGAUAAACAUAUAUGAAAAAAACAAAGAUAUACGUGGCACCUACUAUAGUUGGAGAAUGCAAAAAGGCUUCAGCCCAUCAGUCUCACUUUGGUCACACGUUUAUGAACUUUCCUGAAAGGCAAUACAGUGACAAAUUGUACUUCAUCAAAAGAAUGUGUUUAAACUGGAAUAUACAGCAUGUUAGAAUUUCCCUGGGCUUGCCCACACGCUGGGGCACACCUCUAAUCCCACUGACUCUGGAAGCUGAGGCAGGAGGAUCACAGGUACAAGGUCCUGCCUCAAAUUAAAAAGGACUGGGGGGUGUGGCUCAGCAGUCAAGCACCCUUGGGUUCAAUCCUCAGUGCAAGUGUGUGUGUGUGUGUGUGUGUGUGUGUGUGAAAUCACAUGGCCUAAAAGCAGGAUGGAAAUAAAAGGAGAUUCUGGGGGGCUGGGGCUGGAGCUCAAUGGUAAAGCUCUUGCCUUGCAUGUGUGAGGCACUGGGUUCGAGCCUCAGCAC